UACGGGGGGAGCAAGCGUUGUUCGGAUUUACUGGGCGUAAAGGGCGCGUAGGCGGUCGUGACAAGUCACUUGUGAAAUCUCCGGGCUUAACUCGGAACGGUCAAGUGAUACUGUCGGACUAGAGUACAGAAGGGGCAACUGGAAUUCUCGGUGUAGCGGUGAAAUGCGUAGAUAUCGAGAGGAACACCUGCGGCGAAGGCGACUCACUGGACAUGUAUUGACGCUGAGGUGCGAAAGCGUGGGGAGCGAACAGG
rnacentral:rRNA from 1 species